rnacentral:rRNA from 1 species
UACGUAGGGGGCAAGCGUUUGUCCGGAAUCAUUGGGCGUAAAGAGCGUGUAGGCGGUCCGGUCAGUCGGUUGUGAAAGUCCAGGGCUCAACCCUGGGGAUGCCGGUCGAUACUGCCGGACUAGAGUUCGGAAGAGGCGAGUGGAAUUCCCGGUGUAGCGGUGAAAUGCGCAGAUAUCGGGGAGGAACACCAGUGGCGAAGGCGGCUCUCUGGACA